UAUGUGCGUCAUGCUGCUUUGAGUAUUGA
rnacentral:piRNA from 1 species